rnacentral:lncRNA from 1 species
AGAGGGAGACCGCUCGAGAGAUCGUAAGAUACCUCUUCUAUUCUCGUUCAUUUACCCUCUGAACCCUAAUCCUCGUCGCUGGGAUCCUUUGUGCUGUUGACAAGGCGAUAUCUCUUCUCCCCUGCUGCGAUACAUGUUUCUAUCUUUCGGCUACGGAAUUGGGAACCUUUACAAUUUGUUGAUUGCUUUGCGUUCGGAGAUCGCUGAGAUCAAGCGGCGAUUUGGGACCUUCGAUCUUCUAAUGCUUUGCUUUGCCCUCCCUACAUUUGUACGAACGAUGCGCCCACGAUCCACACUUGGAUUCUAAAACAAAAUUGAAUCAGGUUUGAUUUGGCUGAUCACUUAUAAAGUUCUCAGGGCGCGUACAAAAAUCUUGCUUAUUGUAGAAUUAUUGAUGCAGAGAGUAAUUUUCCUUUUUAGUUCUUUAGGGCAAUUACACUUUACGACUUGCAAGCAGGGUAUACGACGAUACCAAAUGUGUCGGA